CCUACGGGUGGCAGCAGUGGGGAAUAUUGCACAAUGGGCGCAAGCCUGAUGCAGCCAUGCCGCGUGUGUGAAGAAGGCCUUCGGGUUGUAAAGCACUUUCAGCGGGGAGGAAGGCGGUGAGGUUAAUAACCUCAUCGAUUGACGUUACCCGCAGAAGAAGCACCGGCUAACUCCGUGCCAGCAGCCGCGGUAAUUCGGAGGGUGCAAGCGUUAAUCGGAAUUACUGGGCGUAAAGCGCACGCAGGCGGUCUGUCAAGUCGGAUGUGAAAUCCCCGGGCUCAACCUGGGAACUGCAUUCGAAACUGGCAGGCUAGAGUCUUGUAGAGGGGGGUAGAAUUCCAGGUGUAGCGGUGAAAUGCGUAGAGAUCUGGAGGAAUACCGGUGGCGAAGGCGGCCCCCUGGACAAAGACUGACGCUCAGGUGCGAAAGCGUGGGGAGCAAACAGGAUUAGAUACCCUAGUAGUC
rnacentral:rRNA from 1 species